rnacentral:rRNA from 1 species
CCUACGGGUGGCUGCAGUGGGGAAUAUUGGACAAUGGGCGAAAGCCUGAUCCAGCCAUGCCGCGUGUGUGAAGAAGGCCUUCGGGUUGUAAAGCACUUUCAGUGGGGAAGAAAGCCUUGGGGCUAAUACCCUCGAGGAAGGACAUCACCCACAGAAAAAGCACCGGCUAACUCCGUGCCAGCAGCCGCGGUAAUACGGAGGGUGCGAGCGUUAAUCGGAAUUACUGGGCGUAAAGCGCGCGUAGGCGGUCUGAUAAGCCGGUUGUGAAAGCCCCGGGCUCAACCUGGGAACGGCAUCCGGAACUGUCAGGCUAGAGUGCAGGAGAGGAAGGUAGAAUUCCCGGUGUAGCGGUGAAAUGCGUAGAGAUCGGGAGGAAUACCAGUGGCGAAGGCGGCCUUAUGGACUGACACUGACGCUGAGGUGCGAAAGCGUGGGUAGCAAACAGGAUUAGAUACCCUAGUAGUC